rnacentral:rRNA from 1 species
UACGUAGGGUGCAAGCGUUAAUCGGAAUUACUGGGCGUAAAGCGUGCGCAGGCGGUUCUAUAAGACAGAAUCGUGAAAUCCCCGGGCUCAACCUGGGAACUGCAUUUGUGACUGUAGAGCUGGAGUGCGGCAGAGGGGGAUGGAAUUCCGCGUGUAGCAGUGAAAUGCGUAGAUAUGCGGAGGAACACCGAUGGCGAAGGCAAUCCCCUGGGCCUGCACUGACGCUCAUGCACGAAAGCGUGGGGAGCAAACAGG